rnacentral:rRNA from 1 species
CCUACGGGUGGCAGCAGUGAGGAAUAUUGGUCAAUGGACGAGAGUCUGAACCAGCCAAGUAGCGUGAAGGAUGACUGCCCUAUGGGUUGUAAACUUCUUUUAUACAGGAAUAAAACGAGGCACGUGUGCCUGUUUGCAUGUACUUUAUGAAUAAGGAUCGGCUAACUCCGUGCCAGCAGCCGCGGUAAUACGGAGGAUCCGAGCGUUAUCCGGAUUUAUUGGGUUUAAAGGGAGCGUAGAUGGGUUGUUAAGUCAGUGGUGAAAGUUUGCGGCUCAACCGUAAAAGUGCAACUGAUACUGGCAGUCUUGAGUACAGUUGAGGUAGGCGGAAUUCGUGGUGUAGCGGUGAAAUGCAUAGAUAUCACGCAGAACCCCGAUUGCGAAGGCAGCUUACUAAACUGUGACUGACAUUGAUGCUCGAAAGUGUGGGGAUCAAACAGGAUUAGAUACCCUUGUAGUC